rnacentral:lncRNA from 1 species
GGCUCUCAUUUUUCCAGUGGUUUCCCGAGUCUUCAGUGCAAAUACCCAGCACAUGUUUACCUUAUGAACUGAAAUGAAGAUUAAUUUAUUCUAGACUACAAAGCUGCUUUGGAAUGAUGAAGUACAGGUAUACUUUAGAGUUAGAAGAAAGCUGUGAGGACCUGGGCAGUGGGGCUCGGCCAGCCACAUACCCCGGCUGCAGAGACAGCCGUGAUUGUUGGCGAGCAGAACA